rnacentral:hammerhead_ribozyme from 1 species
AUUCAGAUGACGAGUCUCAAAUAGGACGAAAUGCACAUUAUCCUGGAU